AUCUGUAGAAGCAAGAUUCAAAACACGAUGCCUCUAACAUUUUUGUCUUGAACUGCAUUUGCUUCUGGUUUCACCGGACCUCGAAUGGGAGGACAGACUGGAGGAAGGCCGGUUUACCAAAUCGCCCAAGAGCAGUUGCAGAUGUUGUUGUCCUUUAACUUCUCUGCUAAACAGAUUGCGGAGAUCUUGGGUGUCUCAAGAAGAACAGUGAACCUACGGUUAAGACAGUACAAAUGUAUCUUUUAGAGGUUGCUACACAGACCAGAAGAUGCACUUGAUCUGAAGGUGCUGCUAUUCGGAGUAUGUCCCACAGGCUUCGGAGGAGAACAUAUCGAGUGGCAGGGUCAAAUUCGCUGAUUCUUGAUGGCAACUACAAGCUCAUAAAGUGGAGGAUUGUAAUCCAUGGAGGAAUCGAUGGGUUCAGCCGACUGAUGGUUUUAGUGAAGGCUUCUAACAACAGUGGAAGUGACAUUGUAAUGGACCUGUUUUCGGAAGCAGUCGCCCAGUUUGGUGUCCCAUCCAGAGUAGGGAUGGGUAUCGUAAAUUUUUAUCGAUAUCGAUACCAUUUUCGAGACUGCUUAACGAUCCGAGUCUUUAUCGAUACUUUUCUAUUUCUUAAGUAAAACAGAUGUAAUAUAGAACAAGGGGAACGUGUUGCUCUCAGGAGGAAGCUGGCUAAAAGGAGCAUAUAUUGGCACAAUGGAUCCUGACCAUGGCUAAAUCUAAAUCUAUCCACUACAGAUGUACUAUCCACAACCUGGAUGAGUAACUAGACUGAUUGGUUGGUUGACGAAAAGUGACAUUGUCAAGCUCAUCGACUUUAUGAAAAGUUCAACACGUUUCAACAAAAGGCACCUGAUAUAGCUAAAUGACUAACUAACCAAACCCAAACCUUCCUUAUCUUAUCCCUAUUUUCUUCUGUCUGUUUUUGUUUAACACGAUGCUUAAGCAUCCCACAGAGCCAUGCUCGCGGUGACUAUGUUUUGGAUGAUCAGCAGCGAGGGGGGGAGGCUAGUCUUUACUCACACUGUGCUCGUAAAUAAUUCUUGCAGUUCGCGCACACAUAACAUUUUAGGGGCAUAUGCGAGUGAAAUAGUUGCACUGUUGAGCCCUGAAUUGGCUUAUUAUUGUCAACGAUGGAGACUUGCUAUGAAGUUGGGGUGCGCUCACCAGAUGAUUGUCCUGCAAAGGCAGCUGGAGUUGGCACUGUUGCGAUUCGAAGACAGUCGAAGUACUGCAUUUUAUCUUUAUCUGAUGCACAAUGUUGAGGUGCUUGUUCAUCGUAGUUGUGUUCCCCCCCUUACAAUAAAUUACUUUAGAACAUAUAUUGCACUUUGCUUUGUCGUCUUUAUCUUUGGCUUUAAUCAAAUGUGGCCAAGCCUUUGACCGUUUCGUGCGUUCUGCCAUCGUAGCUAGCAACAAAAUUAUAAAUGAAGCGAAGUAGCGCAUGAGGCAAUUAAAUUCUUCUUCGUUUAGUUUAAAGGCGGUUGGCAGGCCAUUCAAUUGAAUGUAGUCAUUGUAUUAGUCAAACGUUGUAUGUUUGUGCACUAGUGAUUUGAUUUAAAUAACAUUACUUAUUUCUCGAGACAUAAGUCAUCGUUACUUUAUAUUACUUAGUCUCGAUAGCGGUAUCGAUAAGCUUGGACCUUAUUGAUAUUCGGGUUUUGAGAAAUUUGGAACCGGGUCCUUACAGAACCGGUUCUCGAUACCCAUCCCUAAUCCAGAGUCAGAUGUGACUAUGGAGGGGAAAACAACGCCAUUUGUCUCUUCAUGGAUGUCUUCCGAGGAUCAACCCGAGGGAGCACUCAUAAUCAACGCAUUGAAAGACUGUGGGGCGAUGUCUGAAGAGGCGUGACGAAAA